GGCACCCGGAAGCCGCCCGCAAAGUCUGGGGCCAUUCCGAGUCCGGCGGACGAACUUCGCCCACGCCCCCCACCAAGGCUAUAGCCCACCCGUUUUUUGGCCAUUUUACCGCUGGGGGUCUUGGCACCCCGAUCUUCGGGGGCUGAUUUUUGGGCGCGGCUGUGCCCGUGGCCUAUUUUUGGCACACGGAGACCGCCCGCAAAGUCUGUGGACAUUCCGAGUCCGGUGGACGAACUUCGCCCGCUGCCCCCACCAAGGCAAUAGCCCACCCGUUUUUUGGCCAAUGUUCCGCUGGGGGGUCUUGGCACCCCGACCUUCGGGGGCUGGUUUUUCGGCGCGGCUGUUCCCGUGGCCUAGUUUUGGCACACGGAGGCCGGCCACACAGUCUGGGGCCAUUCCGAAUCCGGCGGACGAACUUCGCCCGCUGCCCCCACCAAGGCUAUAGCCCACCCGUUUUUUGGCCAUUUUACCGCUGGGGGUCUUGGCACCCCGAUCUUCGGGGGCAGAUUUUUGGGCGCGGCUGUGCCCGUGGCCUAUUUUUGGCACACGGAGACCGCCCGCAAACUCUGGGGAUAUUCCGAGUCCGGCGGACGAACUUCGCCCACGCCCCCCACCAAGGCUGUAGCCCACACGUUUUUUGGGCAUUUUUCGGCUGGGGGGUGUUGGCGCCCCGACUUUCGGGUGCUCAUUUUUGGGCGCGGCUGUGCCCGUGGCCUAUUUUUGGCACACGGAGGCCGCCCGCAAAGUCUGGGGCCAUUCCGAGUCCGGCGGACGAACUUCGCCCACGCCCCCCACCAAGGCUAUAGCACACCCGUAUCUUGGCCAUUUUUCCGGUGGGAGGUGUUGGCGCCCCGACCUUCGGGCGCUCAUUUUUGGGCGCGGCUGUGCCCGUGGCCUAUUUUUGGCACACGGAGGUCGCCUGCAAAGUCUGGGGCCAUUCCGAGUCCGGCGGACGAACUUCGCCCACGCCCCCCGCCAAGGCUAUAGCCCACCCGUUUUUUGGCCAUUUUCCGCUGGGGGGUGUUGGCGCCCCGACCUUCCGGCACUCAUUUUUGAACGCGGCUGUGCCCGUGGCCUAUUUUUGGCACACGGAGGCCGCCCGCAAAGUCUGGGGCCAUUCCUAGUCCGGCGGACGAACUUCUCCCCUGCCCCCACCAAGGCUAUAGCACACCCGUUUCUUGGCCAUUUUUCCGCUGGGGGGUGUUGGCGCCCCGACCUUCGGGCGCUCAUUUUUGGGACCUGCUGUGCCCGUGGCCUAUUUUUGGCACACGGAGGCCGCCCGCAAAGUCUGGGGCCAUUCCGAGUCCGGCUGACGAACUUCGCCCACGCCCCCCACCAAGGCAAUAUCCCACCCGUUUUUUGGCCAUUGUUCCGCUGGGGGGUCUUGCCUCCCCGACCUUCGGGGGCUGAUUCUUGGGCGCGGCUGUGCCCGUGGCCUAUUUUUGGCACACGGAGGCCGACCGCAAAGUCUGGGGCCAUUCCGAGUCCGGCGAACGAACUUCGCCCGCGCCCCCCACCAAGGCAAUAGCCCACCCAUUUUUUGGCCAUUUUUCCGCUUGGGGGUCUUGGCACCUCGACCUUCGGGGGCUGAUUUUUGGGGGCGGCUGUGCCCGUGGCCUAUUUUUGGCACACGGAGGCCGCCCGCAAAGUCUGGGGCCAUUCCGAGUCCGGCGGAUGAACUUCGCCCACGCCCCCCACCAAGGCUCUAGCCCACCCGUUUUUUGGCCAUAUAGCCUUGCUGGGGGGUCUUGGCACCCCGACCUUCGGGGGCUGAUUUUUCGGCGCGGCUGUGCCCGUGGCCUAUUUUUGGCACACGGAGGCUGGCCGCAAAGUCUGGGCCCAUUCCGAGUCCGGCGGACGAACUUCGCCGACGCGCCCCACCAAGGCUAUAGCCCACCCGUUUUUUGGCCAUUUUUCCGCUGGGGGGUCUUGGCACUCCGAUCUUCGGGGGCUGAUUUUUGGGCGCGGCUGUGCCCGUGGCUUAUUUUUGGCACACGGAGACCGCCUGCAAAGUCUGGGGCCAUUCCGAGUCUGGCGGACGAACUUCGCCCGCGCCCCCCACCAAGGCAAUAGCCCACCCGUUUUUUGGCCAUUGUUCCGCUGGGGGGUCUUGGCACCCCGACCUUCGGGGGCUGAUUUUUGGGCGCGGUUGUGCCCGUGGCCUAUUUUUGGCACACGAAGGCCGCCCGCAAAGUCUGGGGCCAUUUCGAGUCCGGCGAACGAACUUCUCCCACGGCCCCCGCCAAGGCAAUAGNNNNNNNNNNNNNNNNNNNNNNNNNNNNNNNNNNNNNNNNNNNNNNNNNNNNNNNNNNNNNNNNNNNNNNNNNNNNNNNNNNNNNNNNNNNNNNNNNNNNGCCAUUUUUCCGCCGGGGGGUCUUGGCACCCCGACCGUCGGGGACUGAUUUUUGGACGCGGCUGUGCCCGUGGCCUAUUUUGGGCACACGGAGGCCACCCGCAAAGUCUGGGGCCAUUUCGAGUCCGGCGGACGAACUUCGCCCACGCCCCCCACCAAGGCUAUAGCCCACCCGUUUUUUGGCCAUAUAGCCUUGCUGGGGGGUCUUGGCACCCCGACCUUCGGGGGUUGAUUUUUAGUGGUGGCUAUGCCCGUGGCCUAUUUUUGGCGCACGGCGGCCGCCCGCAAAGUCUGGGGCCAUUCCGAGUCCGGCGGACGAACUUCGCCCACGCCCCCCACCAAUGCUAUAGCCCACCCGUUUUUUCGCCAUAUAGCCUUGCUGGGGGGGUCUUGGCACCCCGACCUUUGGGGGCUGAUUUUUCGGCGCGGCUGUGCCCGUGGCCUAUUUUUGGCACACGGAGGCCGGCCGCAAAGUCUGGGCCCAUUCCGAGUCCGGCGGACGCACUUCGCCGACGCCCCCCACCAAGGCUAUAGCCCACCCGUUUUUUGGCCAUUUUUCCGCUGGGGGGUGUUGGCGCCCCGACCUUCGGGCGCUCAUUUUUGGGCACGGCUGUGCCCGUGGCCUAUUUUUGGCACACGGAGGCCGCCCGCAAAGUCUGGGGCCAUUCCAAGUCCGGCGGACGAACUUCGCCCACGCCCCCCACCAAGGCUAUAGCACACCCGUUUCUUGGCCAUUUUUCCGCUGGGGGGUGUUGGCGCCCCGACCUUCGGGCGCUCAUUUUUGGGCGCGGCUGUGCCCGUGGCCUAUUUUUGGAACACGGAGGCUGCCCGCAAAGUCUGGGGCCAUUUCGAGUCCAGCGGACGAACUUCGCCCACGCCCCCCGCCAAGGCUAUAGCCCACCGGUUUUUUGGCCAUUUUUCCGCUGGGGGGUGUUGGCGUCCCGACCUUCGGGCGCUCAUUUUUGGGCGCGGCUGUGCCCAUGGCCUAUUUUUGGGACACGGAGGCCGGCCGCAAAGUCUGGGGCCAUUCCGACUCCGGCGGACGAACUUCGCCCACGCCGCCCACCAAGGCUAUAGCACAUCCGUUUCUUGGCCAUUUUUCCGCAGGGGGGUGUUGGCGCCCCGACCAUCGGGCUCUCAUUUUUGGGCGCGGCUGUGCCCGUGGCCUAUUUUUGGCACACGGAGGCCGCCCGCAAAGUCUGGGGCCAUUCCGAGUCCGGCGGACGAACUUCGCCCACGCCCCCCGCCAAGGCUAUAGCCCACCGGUUUUUUGGCCAUUUUUCCGCUGGGGGUUGUUGGCGCCCCGACAUUCGGGCUCUCAUUUUUGGGCGCGGCUGUGCCCGUGUCCUAUUUUUGGCACACGGAGGCCGCCCGCAAAGUCUGGGGCCAUUCCGAGUCCGGCGGACGAACUUCGCCCACACCCCCCGCCAAGGUUAUAGCCCACCGGUUUUUUGGCCAUUUUUCCGCUGGGGGUUGUUGUUACCCCGACCUUCGGGCGCUCAUUUUUGGGCGCGGCUGUGCCCGUGGCCUAUUUUUAGCACACGGAGGCCGCCCGCAAAGUUUGGGGCCAUUCCGAGUCCGGCGGACGAACUUCGCCCACGCCUCCCGCCAAGGCUAUAGCCCACCGGUUUUUUGGCCAUUUUUCUGCUGGGGGGUGUUGGCGCCCCGACCUUCGGGCGCUCAUUUUUGGGCGCGGCUGUGCCCGUGGCCUAUUUUUAGCACACGGAGGCCGCCCGCAAAGUUUGGNNNNNNNNNNNNNNNNNNNNNNNNNNNNNNNNNNNNNNNNNNNNNNNNNNNNNNNNNNNNNNNNNNNNNNNNNNNNNNNNNNNNNNNNNNNNNNNNNNNNGGUGUUGGCGCCCCGACCUUCGGGCUCUCAUUUUUGGGCACGGCUGUGCCCGUGGUUUAUUUUUGGAACACGGAGGCCACCCGCAAAGUCUGGGGCCAUUCCGAGUCCGGCGGACGAACUUCGCCCACGCCCCCCACCAAGACUAUAGCACACCCGUUUCUUGGCUAUUUUUCUGCUGGGGGGUGUUGGCGCCCCGACCUUCGGGCGCUCAUUUUUGCGCGCGGCUGUGCCCGUGGCCUAUUUUUGGCACACGGAGGUCGCCUGCAAAGCCUGGGGCCAUUCCGAGUCCGGCGGACGAACUUCGCCCACGCCCCCCGCCAAGGCUAUAGCCCACCGGUUUUUUGGCCAUUUUUCCGCUGGGGGGUGUUGGCGCCCCGACCUUCGGGCACUCAGUUUUGAACGCGGCUGUUCCCGUGGCCUAUUUUUGGCACACGGAGGCCGCCCGCAAAGUCUGGGGCCAUUCCGAGUCCGGCGGACGAACUUCGCCCCCGCCCCCCACCAAGGCUAUAGCACACCCGUUUCUUGGCCAUUUUUCCGCUGGGGGGUGUUGGCGCCCCGACCUUCGGGCGCUCAUUUUUGGGCGCGGCUGUGCCCGUGGCCUAUUUUUGGAACACGGAGGCCGCCCGCAAAGUCUGGGGCCAUUCCGAGUCCGGCGGACGAACUUCGCCCACGCCCCCCACCAAGGCUCUAGCCCACCCGUUUCUUGGCCAUUUUUCCGCUGGGGGGUGUUGGCCCCCGACCUUCCGACGCUCAGUUUUGGGUGCGGCUGUGCCCGUGGCCUAUUUUUGGUACACGGAGGCCGCCCGCAAAGUGUGGGGCCAUUCCGAGUCCGGCGGACGAACUUCGCCCACGCCCCCCGCCAAGGCUAUAGCCCACCCGUCUUUUGGCCAUUUUUCCGCUGCGGGGUGUUGGCGCCCCCGACCUUCGGGCGCUCAUUUUUGGGCGCGGCUGUGCCCGUGGCCUAUUUUUGGCAAACGGAGGCCGCCCGCAAACUCUGGGGCCAUUCGGAGUCCGGCGGACGAUCUUCGCCCACGCCCCCCACCAAGGCUAUAGCACACCCGUUUCUUGGCCAUUUUUCCGCUGGGGGGUGUUGGCGCCCCGACCUUCGGGCGCUCAUUUUUGCGCGCGGCUGUGCCCGUGGCCUAUUUUUGGCACACGGAGGUCGCCUGCAAAGCCUGGGGCCAUUCCGAGGCCGGUGGACGAACUUCACCCAUGCCCCCCACCAUGGCUAUUGCCAACCCGUUUUUUGGCCAUUUUUCCGCUGGGGGGUGUUGGCGCCCCGACCUUCGGGCGCUCAUUUUUGGGCGCGGCUGUGCCCGUGGCCUAUUUUUGGCACACGGAGGCCGCCCGCAAAGUCUGGGGCCAUUCCGAGUCCGGCGGACGAACUUCGCCCACGCCCCCCACCAAGGCGAUAGCCCACAAGUUUUUUGGCCAUUUUUCCGCUGGGGGGUGUUGGCGCCCCGACCUUCGGGCGCUCAUUUUUGGGCGCGGCUGUGCCCGUGGCCUAUUUUUGGCACACGGAGGCCGCCCGCAAAGUCUGGGGCCAUUCCGAGUGCGGCGGACGAACUUCGCCCACGCCCCCCACCAAGGCUCUAGCCCACCCGUUUUUUGGCCAUUUUUCCGCUGGGGGGUGUUGGCCCCCGACCUUCGGACGCUCAGUUUUGGGCGCGGCUGUGCCCGUGGCCUAUUUUUGGCACACGGAGGCCGCCCGCAAAGUCUGGGGCCAUUCCGAAUCUGGCGGACGAACUUCGCCCACGCCCCCCGCCAAGGCUAUAGCCCACCCGUUUUUUGGCCAUUUUUCCGCUGGGGGGUGGUGGCGCCCCGACCUUCGGGCGCUCAUUUUUGGGCGCGGCAUUGCCCGUGGCUUAUUUUUGGCAGCGGCUGUGCCCGUGGCCUAUUUUUGGCACACGGAGGCCGCCUGCAAAGUCUGGGGCCAUUCCGAGUCCGGCGGACGAACUUCGCCCAUGCCCCCCACCAAGGCUAUAGCCCACCCGUUUUUUGGCCAUUUUUCCGCAGGGGGGUGUUGGCGCCCCGACCUUCGGGCGCUCAUUUUUGGGCGCGGCAGUGCCCGUGGCUUAUUUUUGCCACACGGAGGCCGCCUGCAAAGUCUGGGGCCAUACCAAGUGCGGCGGACGAACUUCGCCCACGCCCCCCGCCAAGGCUAUAGCACACCCGUUUCUUGGCCAUUUUUCCGCUGGGGGGUGUUGGCGCCCCGACCUUCGGGCGCUCAUUUUUGGGCGCGGCUGUGCCCGUGGCCUAUUUUUGGCACACGGAGGCCGCCCGCAAAGUCUGGGGCCAUUCCGAGUCCGGCGGACGAACUUCGCCCACGCCCCCCACCAAGGCUAUAGCCCACCCGUUUUUUGGCCAUUUUUCCGCUGGGGGGUGUUGGCGCCCCGACCUUCGGGUCUCAUUUUUGCAGGCGGCUGUGCCCGUGGCCUAUUUUUGGCACACGGAGGCUGCUCGCAAAGUCUGGGGCAGUUCCGAGUCCGGCGGACGAACUUCGCCCACGCCCCCCACCAAGGCUAUAGCACACCCGUUUCUUGGCCAUUUUUCCGCUGGGGGGUGUUGGCGCCCCGACCUUCGGGCGCUCAUUUUUGGGCGCAGCUGUGCCCGUGGCCUAUUUUUGGCACACGUAGGCCGCCCGCAAAGUCUGGGGACAUUCCGAGUCUGGCGGACGAACUUCGCCCACGCCCCCCGCCAACGCUAUAGCCCACCCGUUUUUUGGCCAUUUUUCCGCUGGGGGGUGUUGGAACCCGACCUUCGGGAGCUCAUUUUUGGGCGCGGCUGUGCCCGUGGUCUAUUUUUGGCACACGGAGGCCGCCCGCAAAGUGUGGGGCCAUUCUGAGUCCGGCGGACGAACUUCGCCCACGCCCCCCACCCUGGCUAUAGCCCACCCGUUUUUCGGCCAUUUUUCCGAUGGGGGGUGUUGGCGCCCCGACCUUCGGGAGCUCAUUUUUGGGCGCGGCUGUGCCCGUGGUCUAUUUUUGGCACAGGGAGGCCGCCCGCAAAGUCUGGGGCCAUUCCGAGUCCGGCGGACGAACUUCGCCCACGCCCCCCACCAAGGCUAUAGCCCACCCGUUUUUUGGCCAUUUUUCCGCUGGGGGGUGUUGGCGCCCCGACCUUCGGGCGCUCAUUUUUGGGCGCGGCAGUGCCCGUGGCUUAUUUUUGCCACACGGAGGCCGCCUGCAAAGUCUGGGGCCAUUCCGAGUCCGGCGGACGAACUUCGCCCACGCCCCCCGCCAAGGCUAUAGCACACCCGUUUCUUGGCCAUUUUUCCGCCGGGGGGUGUUGGCGCCCCGACCUUCGGGCGCUCAUUUUUGGGCGCGGCUGUGCCCGUGGCCUAUUUUUGGCACACGGAGGCCGCCCGCAAAGUCUGGGGCCAUUCCGAGUCCGGCGGACGAACUUCGCCCACGCCCCCCGCCAAGGCUAUAGCCCACCGGUUUUUUGGCCAUUUUUCCGCUGGGGGGUGUUGGCGCCCCGACCUUCGGGCGCUCAUUUUUGGGCGCGGCUGUGCCCGUGGCCUAUUUUUGGCACACGGAGGCCGCCCGCAAAGUUUGGGGCCAUUCCGAGUCCGGCGGACGAACUUCGCCCACCCCCCCCGCCAAGGCUAUAGCCCACCCGUUUUUUGCCCAAUUUUCCGCUGGGGGGUGUUGGCGCCCCGACCUUCGGGUGCUAAUUUUUGGACGCGGCUGUGCCCGUGGUUUAUUUUUGGCACACGGAGGCCGCCCGCAAAGUCUGGGCCCAUUCCGAGUCCGGCGGACGAACAUCGCCCACGCCCCCCACCAAGGAUAUAGCACACCCGUUUCUUGGCCAUUUUUCCGCUGGGGGGUGUUGGCGCCCCGACCUUCGGGCGCUCAUUUUUGGGCGCGGCUGUGCCCGUGGCCUAUUUUUGGCACACGGAGGCCGCCCGCAAAGUCUGAUGCCAUUCCGAGGCCGGUGGACGAACUUCACCCACGCCCCCCACCAUGGCUAUAGCCCACCCGUUUUUUGGCCAUUUUUCCGCUGGCGGGUCUUGGGACCACGACCUUCGGGGGCUAUUUUUUGGGCGCGGCUGUGCACGUGGCCUAUUUUUGGCACACAGAGGCAGCCCGCCAAGUCUGGUACCAUUCCGAGUCCCGCGGACGAACUUCGCCCACGCCCCCCACCAAGGCUAUAGCCCACCCGUUUUUUGGCCAUUUUUCCGCUGGGGGGUCUUGGGACCCCGACCUUCGGGGGCUGGUUUUUGGGCGCGGCUGUGACCGUGGCCUAUUUUUGGCACACGGAGGCCUCCCGCCAAGUCUGGUGCCAUUCCGAGUCCCGCGGACGAACUUCGCCCAAGCCCCCCACCAAGGCUAUAGCCCACCCGUUUUUUGGCCAUUUUUCCGCUGGGGGGUCUUGGGACCCCGACCUUCGGGGCCUGUUUUUUAGGCGCGGCUGUGCCCGUGGCCUAUUUUUGGCACACGGAGGCCUACCGCCAAGUCUGGUGCCAUUCCAUGUC
rnacentral:lncRNA from 1 species